UGAGAAACCUGUCCCGGUCUCUGGAAUAACAAGUGGAAACACUUGCUAAUACUGGAUGCCGUCGGGUCACCGCAUGGUGACGUGACGAAAGGGUUACCGGAUCGGGAGGGUCUCGCGGCCUAUCAGCUUGUUGGCGAGGUAACGGCUCACCAAGGCAUCGACGGGUAGCUGGUCUGAGAGGAUGAUCAGCCACACUGGGACUGAGACACGGCCCAGACCUCCGUACGGGANACAG
rnacentral:rRNA from 1 species